AAUAAACCAGGUGAGGAUGAAUAAAGCAGGUGAGAGGAUGAAUAAACCAGGUGAGGAUGAAUAAAUCAGGUGAGGAUGAAUAAAUCAGGUGAGAGCAUGAAUAAACCAGGUGAGGAUGAAUAAACCAGGUGAGAGGAUGAAUAAACCAGGUGAGGAUGAAUAAACCAGGUGAGAGUAUGAAUAAACCAGGUGAGAGGAUGAAUAAAUCAGGUGAGAGCAUGAAUAAACCAGGUGAGGAUGAAUAAACCAGGUGAGGAUGAAUAAACCAGGCUAGGAUGAAUAAAUCAGGUGAGAGGAUGAAUAAACCAGGUGAGAGGAUGAAUAAACCAGGUGAGGAUGAAUAAAUCAGGUGAGAGGAUGAAUAAACCAGGUGAGGAUGAAUAAACCAGGUGAGGAUGAAUAAACCAGGUGAGGAUGAAUAAAUCAGGUGAGGAUGAAUAAACCAGGUGAGGAUGAAUAAACCAGGUGAGAGGAUGAAUAAACCAGGUGAGGAUGAAUAAAGCAGGUGAGGAUGAAUAAAUCAGGUGAGGAUGAAUAAACCAGGUGAGAGGAUGAAUAAACCAGGUGAGGAUGAAUAAACCAGGUGAGGAUGAAUAAAUCAGAUGAGGAUGAAUAAACCAGUUGAGAGGAUGAAUAAACCAGGUGAGGAUGAAUAAAUCAGGUGAGGAUGAAUAAACCAGGUGAGGAUGAAUAAACCAGGUGAGGAUGAAUAAACCAGGUGAGGAUGAAUAAACCAGGUGAGGAUGAAUAAACCAGGUGAGGAUG